ensembl:lincRNA
GGCGACAGAGGCCCCGAAGGCAGCCAUGGGAGGACCGAGCGGCUGCAGCGCGCAACCACAGCGCCGGAGCCUAUUCCUGCUCUGGUGGUUCCUAUAAAGCCUGGAAGAAGAGUUACCCCAAGAUGGUGUCAUCUGUGUCCAGCUUCUUCUUCAGCACAUCUGCUUGGUGUCAGCUGGGGUGGAUGUCAUGUUUAAGGCUGGGAUUGCUUACAGUUACAACUGGCAGCAGUUUCAUGAACAACAUCCCUUCCUGGACAAGAGGAGAAAAAGUUUGUGCACACACGCCUCAGGAGCUGAAGGCACAUGCAGGAAACCUCUGGACAUUUCUUCUCCCCACCGGUAUAGGAUUCUGUAGCAAUGGGAGCAAAGCAGAAAGAGCAACCUCAGCUCUCAUUUUGUCUGCCAGCAACAUCCGGCUCCCCUCUGUUUUCCACUGGCUAUCAGAUGCUCUGUGUGAUGGCAGAAUUGGGUGGUAAAAACUAACAUUGAAAAAUAAAACUUGGAGUUAUGGGACCACCAAAAUGAAUCACAAAACUGCAGAAUUCUUAUCUCACUGGACUGUGAGAGGGAAAAUUGCUGGGUUUUUCAGGAUGGCAAGUGAUGUUUGGCAUAUUUCAGCUCGGAGAAACGCUUCUUCUUCCACUUUGUUCUCCUGCUCAUAGUGGAUAAUUCACGUCACCUUUAGGGGAUUUUGUGAUUUUUAUUUACAAUGAAUAAGCUCAUAUUAUCAAGACUAAUUCCCAGCUACACGUAGUACUUCCACUUCUCCUGGAGACACAUGGAGGAUACCUGACUCAAUGGAGCCGAAAUGGUUCCCUGUGAUGUGCCUUUUCUGUGUUAUGAUAGCUCCCUUUUCUUCGGGGGCAUUGACACUGUCUGACUUAGGGAGAAGGCAGGCCAGAUGUGCUCACUCUGCAUGUCUGCCUCUCCCCAGGGAGAGGUAGGUAUCAUCUCCUGUUAACCACCCAUCUCCCUGAAAUCCCCUCUUUUUCCCUGUUCACCUCCC